rnacentral:rRNA from 1 species
AUUGCCUCAGUAACGGCGAGUGAAGCGGCAACAGCUCAAAUUUGAAAUCUGGCCCCAGGCCCGAGUUGUAAUUUGCAGAGGAUGCUUUUGGUGAGGUGCCUUCCGAGUUCCCUGGAACGGGACGCCAUAGAGGGUGAGAGCCCCGUCUGGUCGGACACCGAGCCUCUGUAAAGCUCCUUCGACGAGUCGAGUAGUUUGGGAAUGCUGCUCUAAAUGGGAGGUAUAUGUCUUCUAAAGCUAAAUAUUGGCCAGAGACCGAUAGCGCACAAGUAGAGUGAUCGAAAGAUGAAAAGCACUUUGAAAAGAGAGUUAAAUAGCACGUGAAAUUGUUGAAAGGGAAGCGUUUAUGACCAGACUUGGCCCGGUUGAUCAUCCAGCGUUCUCGCUGGUGCACUCUGCCGGUCCAGGCCAGCAUCAGUUCGUCGCGGGGGAUAAAGGUUUCGGGAAUGUGGCUCCCUCGGGAGUGUUAUAGCCCGUUGCGUAAUACCCUGCGGUGGACUGAGGUUCGCGCAUUCGCAAGGAUGCUGGCGUAAUGGUCAUCAACGACCCGUCUUGAAACACGGACCAAGGAGUCGUCUUCGUAUGCGAGUGUUCGGGUGUAAAACCCCUACGCGUAAUGAAAGUGAACGCAGGUGAGAGCUUCGGCGCAUCAUCGACCGAUCCUGAUGUUCUCGGAUGGAUUUGAGUAAGAGCAUACGGGGCCGGACCCGAAAGAAGGUGAACUAUGCCUGUAUAGGGUGAAGCCAGAGGAAACUCUGGUGGAGGCUCGCAGCGGUUCUGACGUGCAAAUCGAUCGUCAAAUAUGGGCAUGGGGGCGAAAGACUAAU